CAGCCAGAAGUUUUGGAAGAGUCCUGGGAGAAAACGUUAAGGCUUAAAUUCUGAUCUUUCAAAGACUUAUUUAACUGGUUUUCCAUGAAAUGUUGUUUUAAAAGAAAACGCGAGCACUUUUGAAAGAUAACGCAAAUUACGCUGUCGGGAACUGGCGUAAUGAUAAUGAGCCUUCAACCAAUUGUAGCUUACAGUAAUUGCUGUCUGAUGGCUGAAAAAAAAGCAUUUCACCAAGCCAACACCAGGAAAAGCCAGGUGCAAUAUCUGCAGCAGACUGGUGAGCUUGGGAGCUGAAGAAGGUAAA